rnacentral:rRNA from 1 species
AUAUGCCUACAACAUAGCAUUAAUGCAUCAGAUCCCAUUAUAAAUCUGUAGUUAAUCAUGCUUAGGCUAGAGUAUUAUUGGGAUGGGUGACCACCCCAGAAGUCCUAGUGUUUUACAUGCC